rnacentral:rRNA from 1 species
GCGUAAUCACUUGCCCCCUAAUUAGGGGCACGCAUGAAUGGGUAAACGAGAAUAAAACUGUCUCUCCCUUACCCCUAAAAUCUUAUCUCUAGGUGAAAAAGCCUAGAUAAUUAUAAAAGACAAAAAGUCCCCGUCGAGCUUUAAUCCUACGCAACCCAAACCCAUACCCCUUGCCACGAUUUUUGUUGGGGCGACACAGGAAUAUAACAUCUUCCUCUACACAUCAGACACCACCAGUCUUACCCCAAUGAUCCACCUCUUGAUCCUCGGAACCAGCUACCGCGGGGAUAACAGGCUAAUUUCCUGCGUGAGACCGCAUCUUCCAGGAAGCUUAG